GAGUGUAAUGCUGUGGUGUAUGAGUAAAAUGCUGUGGUGUAGGAGUAAUGCUCCUGGAGGACUGUGGUGUAGGAGUAAUGCUCCUGGAGGACUGUGGUGUAGGAGUAAUGCUCCUGGAGGACUGAGGUGUAGGAGUAAUGCUCCUGGAGGACUGUGGUGUAGGAGUAAUGCUCCUGGAGGACUGUGGUGUAGGAGUAAUGCUCCUGGAGGACUGUGGUGUAGGAGUAAUGCUCCUGGAGGACUGAGGUGUAGGAGUAAUGCUCCUGGAGGACUGUGGUGUAGGAGUAAUGCUCCUGGAGGACUGUGGUGUAGGAGUAAUGCUCCUGGAGGACUGUGGUGUAGGAGUAAUGCUCCUGGAGGACUGUGGUGUAGGAGUAAUGCUCCUGGAGGACUGUGGUGUAGGAGUAAUGCUCCUGGAGGACUGUGGUGUAGGAGUAAUGCUCCUGGAGGACUGUGGUGUAGGAGUAAUGCUCCUGGAGGACUGUGGUGUAGGAGUAAUGCUCCUGGAGGACUGUGGUGUAGGAGUAAUGCUCCUGGAGGACUGAGGUGUAGGAGUAAUGCUCCUGGAGGACUGUGGUGUAGGAGUAAUGCUCCUGGAGGACUGUGGUGUAGGAAUAAUGCUCCUGGAGGACUGUGGUGUAGGAGUAAUGCUCCUGGAGGACUGAGGUGUAGGAGUAAUGCUCCUGGAGUCCUUUCAAGCUCCACGCGGCUCCCGAAGCUUCUAUUGGGGCUGGAGGGCUGAGGUUGGGGCUGGAGGGCUGAGGUUGGGG